rnacentral:rRNA from 1 species
ACUCCUACGGGAGGCAGCAGUAGGGAAUCUUCCGCAAUGGGCGAAAGCCUGACGGAGCAACGCCGCGUGAGUGAUGAAGGUUUUCGGAUCGUAAAGCUCUGUUGCCAAGGAAGAACGUCUCAUAGAGUAACUGCUAUGAGAGUGACGGUACUUGAGAAGAAAGCCCCGGCUAACUACGUGCCAGCAGCCGCGGUAAUACGUAGGGGGCAAGCGUUGUCCGGAAUUAUUGGGCGUAAAGCGCGCGCAGGCGGUUCUUUAAGUCUGGUGUUUAAACCUGGGGCUCAACUUCAGGUCGCACUGGAAACUGGGGAACUUGAGUGCAGAAGAGGAGAGUGGAAUUCCACGUGUAGCGGUGAAAUGCGUAGAUAUGUGGAGGAACACCAGUGGCGAAGGCGACUCUCUGGGCUGUAACUGACGCUGAGGCGCGAAAGCGUGGGGAGCAAACAGGAUUAGAUACCCUGGUAGUCCACGCCGUAAACGAUGAGUGCUAAGUGUUGGAGGGUUUCCGCCCUUCAGUGCUGCAGCUAACGCAUUAAGCACUCCGCCUGGGGAGUACGACCGCAAGGUUG